UAAAGAAUAGACUAAAUUUAAGUCAAUAGAUUCAUAAUUUAUAAAUAGAAAUUUUCUUUCUUUAA
rnacentral:tRNA from 1 species